rnacentral:rRNA from 1 species
UACGUAGGGUGCAAGCGUUAAUCGGAAUUACUGGGCGUAAAGCGUGCGCAGGCGGUUUUGUAAGUCAGAUGUGAAAUCCCCGGGCUUAACCUGGGAACUGCGUUUGAAACUACAAGGCUAGAGUGUGGCAGAGGGGGGUGGAAUUCCACGUGUAGCAGUGAAAUGCGUAGAGAUGUGGAGGAACACCGAUGGCGAAGGCAGCCCCCUGGGUUAACACUGACGCUCAGGCACGAAGGCGUGGGGAGCAAACAGG